rnacentral:rRNA from 1 species
GUCGAACGCGUCUUGGUUAUUGAUGUUAGAUGCUUGCAUUUAACUGAUUUAACAUUGAGACGAGUGGCGAACUGGUGAGUAACGCGUGGGUAACCUGCCCUUGAAGUAGGGGAUAACACUUGGAAAUAGGUGCUAAUACCGUAUAACAACCAAAACCACCUGGUUUUGGUUUAAAAGAUGGCUUCGGCUAUCACUUUAGGAUGGACCCGCGGCGUAUUAGCUUGUUGGUAAGGUAACGGCCUACCAAGGCAAUGAUACGUAGCCGACCUGAGAGGGUAAUCGGCCACAUUGGGACUGAGACACGGCCCAAACUCCUACGGGAGGCAGCAGUAGGGAAUCUUCCACAAUGGACGCAAGUCUGAUGGAGCAACGCCGCGUGAGUGAAGAAGGUUUUCGGAUCGUAAAGCUCUGUUGUUGGUGAAGAAGGAUAGAGGUAGUAACUGGCCUUUAUUUGACGGUAAUCAACCAGAAAGUCACGGCUAACUACGUGCCAGCAGCCGCGGUAAUACGUAGGUGGCAAGCGUUGUCCGGAUUUAUUGGGCGUAAAGCGAGCGCAGGCGGAAAAAUAAGUCUAAUGUGAAAGCCCUCGGCUUAACCGAGGAACUGCAUCGGAAACUGUUUUUCUUGAGUGCAGAAGAGGAGAGUGGAACUCCAUGUGUAGCGGUGGAAUGCGUAGAUAUAUGGAAGAACACCAGUGGCGAAGGCGGCUCUCUGGUCUGCAACUGACGCUGAGGCUCGAAAGCAUGGGUAGCGAACAGGAUUAGAUACCCUGGUAGUA